AACGAACGCUGGCGGCAUGCCUAACACAUGCAAGUCGAACGAGACCUUCGGGUCUAGUGGCGCACGGGUGCGUAACGCGUGGGAACCUGCCCUUAGGUUCGGAAUAACUCCCCGAAAGGGGUGCUAAUACCGGAUAAUGUCUUCGGACCAAAGAUUUAUCGCCUUUGGAUGGGCCCGCGUUGGAUUAGCUAGUUGGUAUGGUAAAAGCCUACCAAGGCGACGAUCCAUAGCUGGUCUGAGAGGAUGAUCAGCCACACUGGGACUGAGACACGGCCCAGACUCCUACGGGAGGCAGCAGUGGGGAAUAUUGGACAAUGGGCGAAAGCAUGAUCCAGCAAUGCCGCGUGAGUGAUGAAGGCCUUAGGGUUGUAAAGCUCUUUUACCCGGGAUGAUAAUGACAGUACCGGGAGAAUAAGCUCCGGCUAACUCCGUG
rnacentral:rRNA from 1 species